UUAGAAUGUGUGGGUCAUCGCUUCUCGGCCUUUUGGCUAAGAUCAAGUGUAGAAUGUGUGGGUCAGCGAGAUGGCUCAGAAGGUAA
ensembl:miRNA Gm44340 predicted gene, 44340